AUUGAACGCUGGCGGCAUGCCUUACACAUGCAAGUCGAACGGCAGCACGGACUUCGGUCUGGUGGCGAGUGGCGAACGGGUGAGUAAUGUAUCGGAACGUACCUUUCAGUGGGGGAUAACGUAGCGAAAGUUACGCUAAUACCGCAUAUUCUGUGAGCAGGGAAGCAGGGGAUCGAAAGACCUUGCGCUGAUUGAGCGGCCGAUAUCAGAUUAGCUAGUUGGUGGGGUAAAGGCCUACCAAGGCGACGAUCUGUAGCGGGUCUGAGAGGAUGAUCCGCCACACUGGAACUUAGACACGGUCCAGACUCCUACGGGAGGCAGCAGUGGGGAAUUUUGGACAAUGGGGGCAACCCUGAUCCAGCCAUGCCGCGUGAGUGAAGAAGGCCUUCGGGUUGUAAAGCUCUUUCGGCCGGGAAGAAAUCGCAUAGGCUAAUACCCUGUGUGGAUGACGGUACCGGAAUAAGAAGCACCGGCUAACUACGUG
rnacentral:rRNA from 1 species